rnacentral:tRNA from 1 species
GCGAGCGUGAUGUAAUGGUAGCCAUGCAGUCCUCAAGUGACUGUCUCCUAGAGGUGUGGGUUCAAGUCCCACCGCUCGUA